UACGGGGGGGGCAAGCGUUGUUCGGAAUUACUGGGCGUAAAGGGCUCGUAGGCGGCCAACUAAGUCAGACGUGAAAUCCCUCGGCUUAACCGGGGAACUGCGUCUGAUACUGGAUGGCUUGAAUCCGGGAGAGGGAUGCGGAAUUCCAGGUGUAGCGGUGAAAUGCGUAGAUAUCUGGAGGAACACCGGUGGCGAAGGCGGCAUCCUGGACCGGCAUUGACGCUGAGGAGCGAAAGCCAGGGGAGCAAAGCGGGG
rnacentral:rRNA from 1 species